GACGAACGCUGGCGGCGUGCUUAACACAUGCAAGUCGAACGGAAAGGCCCUGCUUUUGUGGGGUGCUCGAGUGGCGAACGGGUGAGUAACACGUGAGUAACCUGCCCUUGACUUUGGGAUAACUUCAGGAAACUGGGGCUAAUACCGGAUAGGAGCUCCUGCUUCAUGGUGGGGGUUGGAAAGUUUCGGCGGUUGGGGAUGGACUCGCGGCUUAUCAGCUUGUUGGUGGGGUAGUGGCUUACCAAGGCUUUGACGGGUAGCCGGCCUGAGAGGGUGACCGGCCACAUUGGGACUGAGAUACGGCACAGACUCCUACGGGAGGCAGCAGUGGGGAAUAUUGCACAAUGGGCGGAAGCCUGAUGCAGCAAAGCCGCGUGCGGGAUGACGGCCUUCGGGUUGUAAACCGCUUUCGCCUGUGACGAAGCGUGAGUGACGGUAAUGGGUAAAGAAGCACCGGCUAACUACGU
rnacentral:rRNA from 1 species